GAUGAACGCUGGCGGCGUGCUUAACACAUGCAAGUCGAACGGAACCAAGGGAGCUUGCUCCCUGAAGUUUAGUGGCGGACGGGUGAGUAACGCGUGAGCAAUCUGCCCUUAAGUGGGGGACAACAGUUGGAAACGACUGCUAAUACCGCAUAGGCGCGGACGGGACAUCCCGUCCACGUUAAACGUCCUUUCGGGGACGGCUGAAGGAUGGGCCUGUGGCGCAUUAGCUUGUUGGCGGGGCAACGGCCCACCAAGGCGACGAUGCGUAGCCGGCCUGAGAGGGCGGACGGCCACACUGGGACUGAGACACGGCCCAG
rnacentral:rRNA from 1 species